rnacentral:rRNA from 1 species
AUGGGGUGCAGCAGGGGCGGAACCUUUACAAUGUGCGAAAGCAUGAUAAGGGGACUCCGAGUGCCAGCACCUAAUGCUGGCUGUCCUUGUGCCUAAAAAGCACAAGAUAGCAAGGGCCGGGUAAGACCGGUGCCAGCCGCCGCGGUAACACCGGCGGCCCGAGUGGUAGCCGCUAUUAUUGGGUCUAAAGGGUCCGUAGCCGGUUCGGUAAGUCCUUUGGGAAAUCUGGUUGCUUAACAAUCAGACUGCCAAGGGAUACUGCUGAACUUGAGACCGGGAGAGGUAAGAGGUACUUCAGGGGUAGGAGUGAAAUCUUGUGAUCCCUGGGGGACCAUCUGUGGCGAAGGCGUCUUACCAGAACGGGUCUGACGGUGAGGGACGAAAGCUGGGGGCGCAAACCGGAUUAGAUACCCGGGUAGUCCCAGCCGUAAACGAUGCUCGCUAUGUGUCAGGUACGGUGCGACCGUAUCUGGUGCCGUAGGGAAGCCGUGAAGCGAGCCACCUGGGAAGUACGGUCGCAAGACUGAAACUUAAAGGAAUUGGCGGGGGAGCACUACAACGGGUGGAGCCUGCGGUUUAAUUGGAUUCAACGCCGGAAAUCUUACCGGGUGAGACAGCAAUAUGAAAGUCAGGCUGAAGACCUUACUGGAUUCGCUGAGAGGAAGUGCAUGGCCGUCGUCAGUUCGUACUGUGAAGCAUCCUGUUAAGUCAGGCAACGAGCGAGACCCGUGCCCACAGUUGCCAGCAUACCCUCCGGGGUGAUGGGUACUUUGUGGGGACCGCCACUGCUAAAGUGGAGGAAGGAGCGGGUUACGGUAGGUCAGUAUGCUCCGAAACUCCCGGGCUACACGCGGGCUACAAUGGUUGGGACAAUGGGAAUCAACACCGAAAGGUGAAGGUAAUCUCCUAAACCCAAUCGAAGUCCGGAUUGAGGGCUGCAACUCGACCCUCAUGAAGCUGGAAAUCCGUAGUAAUCGCGCUUCAACACAGCGCGAUGAAUACGGUCCUGCUCUGCACAACACCCGUCCGUCCAAUAUCCUGAGUGGAGGUUGGAUGGAAGGAAUCCUC